AGAGUUUGAUCAUGGCUCAGAUUGAACGCUGGCGGCAUGCUUUACACAUGCAAGUCGAGCGGCAGCGCGGGGGGCAACCCUGGCGGCGAGCGGCGAACGGGUGAGUAAUGCAUCGGAACGUGUCCCGUAAUGGGGGAUAACGCCGCGAAAGCGGCGCUAAUACCGCAUACGCUCUACGGAGGAAAGUGGGGGAUCCGCAAGGACCUCACGUUAGGGGAGCGGCCGAUGUCCGAUUAGCUAGUUGGUGGGGUAACGGCCCACCAAGGCGACGAUCGGUAGCUGGUCUGAGAGGAUGAUCAGCCACACUGGGACUGAGACACGGCCCAGACUCCUACGGGAGGCAGCAGUGGGGAAUUUUGGACAAUGGGGGCAACCCUGAUCCAGCCAUGCCGUGUGCGGGAAGAAGGCCUUCGGGUUGUAAACCGCUUUUAGCCGGGAAGAAAAGGCGCGAGUUAAUACCUUGCGUUUUUGACGGUACCGGCGGAAUAAGCACCGGCUAACUACGUGCCAGCAGCCGCGGUAAUACGUAGGGUGCGAGCGUUAAUCGGAAUUACUGGGCGUAAAGCGUGCGCAGGCGGUUCGUUGUGUCGGUGGUGAAAGCCCCGGGCUUAACCUGGGAAUGGCCAUGGAAACUGGCGAACUGGAGUGUGGCAGAGGGGGGUGGAAUUCCGCGUGUAGCAGUGAAAUGCGUAGAGAUGCGGAGGAACACCGAUGGCGAAGGCAGCCCCCUGGGCUAGCACUGACGCUCAGGCACGAAAGCGUGGGGAGCAAACAGGAUUAGAUACCCUAGUAGUCC
rnacentral:rRNA from 1 species